UCCUUGCCCCCGGGGUCCAGUUUUCCCAGGAAUCCCUUGGGCACUAAUAAGGGGAUUCCUGGAAAUACUGUUCUUGGGGGUGGGGC
rnacentral:pre_miRNA from 1 species